UGUUAUGGUCGGACAAGAAGAUGGAGUUAUUGAUGUACUCAUUCUACUUAUUCGUUCUCAACAUGAUGCUGUCAGGCAAGAAGCAGCUACUGCAUUUUGGCAUUUAUCGAAUGAUGCCAGAAACCGAGAACGGAUUGCGUUACAUGGCGGUGUUGAAGCCUUGGAGAGAGCAGUUGGUGCUCUAUGGGGACUUUCGGUUUCAGAAGCCAAU